GCGGCUGUAGCUCAGUUGGUAGAGCACUGGCUUGUGGUGCCGGGAGUCGCGGGUUCGAGUCCCGUCAGCCGCC
rnacentral:tRNA from 1 species